rnacentral:lncRNA from 1 species
UUAAAUAGGCCAUUCUGGAGCUAACUAAGCUAAUUAUGUCAUUUCGUAGGAUAAUUAGCCAAUUUAGCCUUUCUUGGAUGAGUCUAAGCUACGUAGAAGAAGAGAUAGAGAAGAAGAAGUAAAAUAAGGAGGAGGAGGAGGAGGAGGAGAAGAAGGAAGAGGAGAAGAAGAAGAAAAGAAGAAGGAGAAGGAGAAGAAGGAGAAGGAGAAGGAGGAAGAAGAAGGAGUAGGAG